rnacentral:rRNA from 1 species
UAAUGUAUGGGGAUCUGCCCGAUAGAGGGGGAUAACUACUGAAACGGUGGCUAAUACCGCAUAAUGUCUACGGACCAAAGCAGGGGCUCUUCGGACCUUGCACUAUCGGAUGAACCCAUAUGGGAUUAGCUAGUAGGUGGGGUAAAGGCUCACCUAGGCGACGAUCUCUAGCUGGUCUGAGAGGAUGAUCAGCCACACUGGGACUGAGACACGGCCCAG